GUGGGCUCUGGGGGCUGCUGGGAGGUGGUUGGCUGGGGCUCGUCCCUGACCUCACAGCCCUUUACUGCCCCAACCCAAACAGAAUGGCAUUUUCUCAGGGGGCAGGGGUGCCCCUCUUUAGGGCAGCCUUGUCCCAAGAGAAAGCAAGCCCAGCCAGAGGGAGCUGGCAUUUGGAGAGGGGGUACAGUGGUGCCCCAAGUAGGGGUGGAGGGGGAGGAAGGAGAGAAGCCCCUUGGCCUGCAGGAGGUGGAGGGCAGGGAGGUGAAGUCCUCAAAGCAAAUCAGCAAACUUAGCAGCCAGGGAAACCAGCAGUCUCUCUUGACCCCAAAGAGAAGAUACUGGGUCUCCUGGGAAGGGUGAGCAGAAAAGGAGGAUCCAGGGCAGAGUUUCCAGCUGCCAGAUCCUGGGCCUUUUAUAAACAUUAGUGACAGCCAAGCCUGAAUGAGUGUAGAUGGGCAUGUUCCCUUCAACCCUCACAGCUGCCCCAUGAUGCUAGUGUUAUUACGUGCGGUUUACAGAGGUAACAUGGAAGUCCCGAGAAGUGAGGUGACUCACCUAAGGUCACACAGGUAUGAAAGUCUAAGCCAGGAUGGGAACCUAGGUCUGUCUGAUUCCAGAGUCUGAGCUCUUUAUCACAGCAUGGGACUGGCUUGCUGGGACUGCGGUGGGAGAUACCAUCAGUCAUCCAUGCGGGGCAGGAGUUUGGACAGCUAACUUGCUGAUUCCACGUUCCUGCCCCGAGAGGCUGGACAGUGUAGAGAAAGUACAGCACGUGGGCCACUAUGGCUCGGGCAGCUCACCCUCUCUGUGCCUUUACGUGACCAUUUGAGGAAUGGAAGGCCUGUCACAAGGACCACCCAUGUUAUGGCAUUUUCAGACUUUCCCAUCCAGCGUCUGGGACAGCAGAUGUUCAUGGAGUAGCCCCUUGUUCUCUGGGGUCCAGACAUACACACCUGACUCUGGAUAGGCCCUGCACCAGGUUCCAUCUGGAACACCGGGAGCACAGUGGCUCUGUCAGGCCAUGGAGUCCGUGGUCCCCAGACCUCCGCCCAUCCUGAGCUGUGCAGGUCGGGUCUGCGGUGAGAGGCGUGCAGACUUGAGAAACUUGUUUGGCAACUUGACAUUGCCACAUCCUUUUUAAUUUUAUUUCACAAAAACAUCUGUUGGCAUCAGAUUGGAAAACUUAAAAAAUAGAGAAGUCACUUUACCCCAAAUUUCUUGAGCUGCUCUUGCUUGGGUCCUAUGAUUGAAGGUAGGAAGCACCAGUCUUGCUCAUGGAUCCGGGGCCAAGGAGAACAAGUCAUUUCGCCCUGGCAGGUCGGGAGGGAGGAUCUGGUUAGGUUUCCUGGAGGAGGUGACGAGGAGCAGGGGUUUGCCAGGCGGAGGGAGAGGGAAGAGCAUUUUAGGCUCGGGGAACAGUAUCUGCGAAGGCAGGCAACAGGAGGAUCCCAUGGUUUGGGAAUGGCAAGCGGUCUUGGGUGUUUAGAGAAGCAGUGGAGAUGGCUGGGGAGGGGCAGGUGCGGGCCAGGCUCCGAGGGCCUUGAAUGCUGUGUGAAGGAAUUGAGACUUUGCCCUGGAGGCACUGGGGAGCUCUGAGUGGUUUGUAAGCAGGAAGGGGAAGUAGUUAGUUAGCUUUGCAUUAUAGAAAAGGUGGCAGUGGACUUGAGGUGGUGGCCGUGGCUGAGUAGGUGGCUUACAGCAGUGGUCUCCAAGCUUUCUGGCACCAGGGACGAUUUCCUAGAAGACAAUUUUUCCAUGGACGGUGUCGGGGAGGAUGGUUUUGGGAUGAAACUGUUCCACUUCAGAUCAUCAGGCAGUAGUUCGAUUCCCAUAAGGCGUGCACUCCUAGAUCUCUCACAUGUGCAGUUCACAGUAGGGUUUGUGCUUCUGUGAGAAUCUAAUGCUGCCUCUGAUCUGACAGAGGCGGACCUCAGGCGGUAAUGCUCGUUAGCCUGCCCACCACUCACCUCCUGCUGUGAGCCCGGUCCCUAACAGGUCAUGGACUGGUACCCGUCUGUGGCCCAGGGAUUGGGGACCUCUGCCUUAGAGGACCAAAGAGGCCAUUCAGGUGUGUGCCUCCUUUCUGCCAUUCCCCUCCCGGGAGGCUGUUCCUUGGUGGUGUCUGGUGGAAGAGAUUGCUGAUGCACAGGCCUCUCUUUGACCCAUGAGUUGGUCCUGGCUGAUGGGCAGGCAGCCCUCUGGUGUGAGCAGCAUGGCCUUUCCAGGCUGGCCUGGUUGCUGGGCUCACACCUGGUGUCACAGGCUGGCCAUGGCAGAAAUCUCUUGUCCUCACUGCCUGUCCUACCACAGCUGCAGGAACGUGGACUGGUAGGCUGUCACAUGGAUGCUGGGUGCAGUGUGGGGACAGUCCAGAGCCGUGUUCAGGGACAGCUAGCAGGAGAAGGGAGGGCUGAAGUUUGGGCUAUUGCCCAGGCCCUGGGCGCCUGGUCUCUGAUGGCAUGGGGUCUGCGUAGGAGGUGACCAGUGGGUAGCAGCCUGAGGUGGCUUCCUGCAUGGAUCCUCUGACAGGCCAGGGCUGAAACCUGUAUCUGUGGCCUGAGGAGGAAACAAACAUCUCAUUGAGACAGCGAGGGAAGUUUCAAGCUCCAGCCUAGUCCAGCUCAAAGCAGCAGACGGUGCAGUGUCAGGGAGUCGCUGGGCUUCAGCUAAGUCGCAGCCUCCGAUCUCUAGAGCAGCUGACCUGCCCUGUCCCGGGGAUGCUGGGAACAGACAAGGUGUGCCUGGGCCUGCAUGUGGCCACAAGCCCACAGAAAGCACGGGCCUGCCCAGGAGGGAGCUGUUGGAAGCGCCUCUUCUCCCUGCCCCACCUCCACCCUCCUCUGGGGCCCCAGUUCAGGGUGGCCCAGCCUCUGCCUCCCUCCCUGCAGCUCCCAGACAGGCUGGGCCCCAGCAGCAGGCCGGGCUGUCUGGCUGCUGUCCAGCAGGGAGUCCAGCUGCCGGGGGUCCUGCAGAAUGGGGCUGGGCAGCCAUUCUUCUCUGUCCAGGCUCUGGCUUCAGGGCCAGGAAGGCAGGAAUUGUGGAGGUACCUUAGUUUUGAAAGUGGCCUUGGUCACGUGUGGAGGCUCAGGGCUAGAGUGCUCGCCCUGUCUGCUCUAUCGCCCUUGGUUGGUCCUGUCCUGCACUCAGUACUUGCCAUAGACUGCAGGCCUCCCUGAUGGGAGCUGGGGAGCAGGCCCUGGGACAGCUGAGCCCACGUUGGGCUUCGUCUCUGCUCCACCCUUCCCCAAAGCUGAUUCUUUCACUGUGCAGGCCUGCUGAGACCUCCUUGCUUCUCGGUGCCCCCGCUUCUCUAAGGACAGACACGCUGAGCCUGUUCUGUAUGGCUCCUGCCACUUCUCAGCGAGACCCGUCCCCCCCCCCCCCCACCAACCAAAUUAAAUCCUCCAAGGCCGUCCAUGUCCGGGUCCAGGGGCACAGUCCAGCACCUUUGCUCAUCGCAGCCUGUCUCACCCUCUCCCAGGGACUGCGCUCCGCCUUCCCUCUCCUUGAGCCCCCUUCCUAGUUCCGAGACCUACCCUGUCCCAGUUCCCUGGGCUACCUGUGAGGCAAGGACUCACUGGUCCAGCUCCCAGGGUCUGCUCCCCAGGCUUCAGUUAGAAACCGGACUCCUCCCUGGCACCUGCCAGUGGCUCCCCUGCCCUCCUGAGCACUCUGGCCCUAGGCCCAGGACAGUGGCCAAGAAAGUCUCCUCUGCCCUCUCAGACUCACUCUGGUUUCUUCCUGGGCCCGGCAGUGGGCUCCUUCCUGGCUGCCCUGGGCUCCUGGCCUGGCAGCAGUCUGACUGCUUCUGGAGCUCAGUUGUUGCCACCUCCUUUUCUCAGUGCCCAGUGUCUGGGGCGUGGGUGGGCUUCACAUUUUGUGCGAGUCCCUGUGGUUCACAAAGAGGCUAAGUGGGCCAGGUGUCAUUUCAUCUUUGCGGCACGCUUGGGAGUAACUACUUGGGAGUUCGCCCAGUUUGCAGAUGAAGGAGUUGAGGCCCCACAGGUUCAGUGACUUUGUCAGAGUCUUGUGGGAAAUCAGGGACUCAGACCCACGUGUCCUGACUCUUCUCGUGACCCCAUAGCUGUCUUGGAGAUAAUGGCCUUUUUGGUCUCUGCUUGCUGUAUUGUCAGGGCCCAGUUCCUGCCUAGGAUCAGGGUCUGGCCAAGCCUCACAGGUUCAAUCUGUGUUUGGGGCUUAUUUUGCUGCCUGGGCCAUUGCCUGGGCUUAGUACUGGUCACGGUCAGCGGCAGUCAGCCCUGCGAGCAUUUAACACUGCUUUCUCCUCCUCCUUCCUCCCUGAACUCUUGCCCUCAGUGCCAGGUCCUCUUAGGGACAUACACAGCCUUUAUCCCCGAAGCUGGUCACACUGGCCAGGGCUGGGGGCUGCUGGGACAGAAUGGGCCAUCUUUCUGUUUCACCCUUCCCCAAAGGGGGAAGGGAAGAUGGGGACAGAUGGCCAGAGGAAGGUGGACUCUGAAGAGCUGGCCUGUGUGCCUCUGACUGCCCAGCCUGUUUCUUCUUGUGUCACAUUGAAGAUCCACAACUCCCAGCCUCUCCCUUCUGUGGGGUCUAACGCUCUAGCUUCCUUACAGCAAUUCUUGAUGCGAGUAGAGAGAGCACAGGCUUUUGCUCUGACUUCCCUGCUGGGGCUCCUGAGGUUCAGAAGGGGUGUCUACCCCUUUAGAUACCUUGUGGCAUUUAAAUUUCCUUUAAUUCCCUGCACCCCAACAGAGCUGCUGGCAUGCCUUCAGGGACUGGUAGCCCACUGGUUCCCAAGGCAGCUCAUUGGAUCUUUUAAUUUUUGUUUUACUACAAGCUAAUUACAUAAGGAAUAUACAAAUAUAUUUUUAUGUUGAGAAAAAAUAUUAACAAAUAAGCUAAAGCCUUCCUUGAUGACCAGAACAUUCCAGAUUCCUCUGCAGGGUUCACCAUCGUUGUCAUUGCUCUGGCAUAUAUCCUUCUAGAUCUUUUUCUAUAUGUUGACACACAUAAUUUAUAGGAAUACGUAUCACUGCAGUGUGUGUGGGUGUGUGUGUAUGUGUUUAAACAAAUGGUUUCAUGUAGUACAGAUUAUUCUGCAAAUUGCUUUUCUCACUUAACAUUGUAUCUAGGAAAUCUAGCCACACAGUAGGUUUUAGAAAGGAUCAUCAUUUAACCAUCCCCCCGCGGCUGACAUUUGGGUUAAUUCUGAUUUUAUUCUAGUGCCUUUUAUUCUAGCGCAUAUCUAGAACAGCUCCUGCUGGGUCUGGGGAACCUUUUGCAUUUUUUGAAGUUUAUCGUGCAACAUUUAAAAUCUAUCUGUUGAGACUGCACAGAAUUAAAUGUUUCCCGGUGAGUCCUUGACUAUUGCUCGUUCUCCUUUUUAGAGCCAGAGAGAAAGUCAGCUCGCCUGGCCCCUGCUAGCCCUCAGAGAGUCGAAAACAGUGGCUGUGGCCCCUGGAGCCUUCUCUCCUUCACAUGCAGGGUUUUCUGCCCUCACUCAAAAGGCAUGGCUUUGGGCGACCCCUCUCUUGAGCAGCUGUUAUAGGAAGUGAGCCCUGGAGUCAUAAUACCUCAGUUCAAAUCCUGGCUCAGUCCCUAACCAACUGGGUACUCUGGGAUGCCACAUAACCCCUCUGUGCCUUAGUUCUAUCCUCUGUCCAAUAGAGAUAACAGCAACACCUACAUGCUGGCACUGCUGAGGACCGAGUGAGCCAUGUGAAAUGUUUACCAUGUGCCAUGCAGACCCACUGUAAAUGCCCAAUAUUGUUACUUUCCUGGAGUGUCUUCUCUGCAUGAGCCCUGGAUCCCACCUCCAUGGGCAGGAGGCCUGUGCUCCCAUAGGGCAGCCUGCAUGGAUGUCUCCAGCCUUGGUGACGGCUUCAUCCUGCUGUCCACUGACAUCCUGGAGGAGGCUGCUGCCUGGGAAUGCAGCGGGUGAUCGGAUUUCAUCGCCUUGGCCCUGAAGGGUCUGGACCAGAGCCUACGGGGAGGGAAGAAGGUCACCAUGACCUCUUGCUCGGCACAGGUGGCCAGGAGCCUGGUAACAUAACCCCAUCCUUCGGGCAGGUUUACAAGCUGUCAAUGAGGUUCGUUGUGGCUGCGGAUUUGAUCUCCCUUGGCCUGCAGGGUGGGCAGGAGACGAAAGCAGCUUGGGGCCAGCCUUUCCCCUGGGAGUCCCGGGAAGGUCCGGGCCACACUGGCUGGUCCAGGCGAGGGUUUGCCUUGCAGUCCAGGGGGCAAAUCGCUGCAGCUGACUAUUUAUUUAGUGCUGGAAAGCAUGGUCUGUUUGCCCUUUUCCUUACACCCACCUCUCAGGCUCCAAACCACACUUAACACUGCUGCCUAAACAGUUCCUUAUAGCCACCCUGUAAGAAACAGGCAACCUGGCCAGGGUCAUUUCGCAGAUGCAUAAACUGAGGGUUCAGGAGGUUUUGCGACUCCCAAAGCCACACAGGUCACUGCCGGCAGGGCUGGGAAUAGUAGCCAGGCCAUCUGGCUCCCUGUCCAGUUCUUUUUCACGAGGCCACCUAAUGUGACAGCCUUGGCAAAGGUGCCCAGCCACACAGCCCUGGUUGGCCUCCUGCCCUCUGGGCAGUGGCAUGUGUGUUCAGUGAGCACAGAGGUUUGGGAUUAUUUCCUAAGAGAUGAGAGGCACCAUGGCUUGCCCCAGGCCCUGUCCUUCCCCAGCACCAGCCCUGGACCCUCAGGGUAGCCACAGGGGGCCGGCAGCAGAGGGUGGCUGCUGCAGCAGAGUCCCGUCUACCUUUCUGGGGUGAGGACUCGCUCUCUACACCUAUCCCAUGGUAUGGGCAGGGGUUGCAGCGGCCCUGGGGGCUCCAGUGUUUCUCCCAGGGAGGCAGUCGAGCAGCCAUGAUUGGACCCAUUUUUAGGCUGGAGAUAGUGAGGCUCAGAAAGGCCAAGCAGCUUGUCUGAGCUGGUGAUGCAAAGGAAACCUGAAACCCACCUUCUAAUUCUAGAUGUAGGCCUUGCUGAUCCUGCUGCCAGCCCACAAAGAAACUGACCUGGCUUAGCUUUAAGAGCAUGGUGUCAGAGGGACACAGGCUUGGGUUCUGGCUCAGCAAGAACUGCUCAGAUUUACUGAGCACUGAUGUGGCAGGCACUAUCUGUGACAUUUCACUUAAUCCUCAAGGUAGCAUCAUGAGGUAGAUACAGCGAGGAAACUGAGGCUCAGGGAAGCUAAGUGGCUUCCCAGGAUCACACGGGGGGAAGCUGAGAUUUGAAUCAUGGCAGUGUGGCUUCAGAGGAUGUGUGGGAGCCACUAUGCUGUCAAGCCUUUGAUGGCCGGAGGGCCACUAAGGUAGCAGUGCACCUUUCUCACUCCUGGCAUCAUCCUGACACAUGCAGGUGCUUGGUAAAUGUGUCGAGUAAAUCAUCUCUGAACGAGUGCAAAGCUUUGGGCAAGCGACUCAGGCUCCCUGCAUGCCCGUUUUCUCACCUUUCCUUCAGCCCUGAUGGGGAGGGUCCAGUAUGGUGAUAUCUGGAAGUGCUGAGUUCAGGGCUUGGGCCCUGGCAGUUGCAGUCACUCCGGGGAGACGGUGCCUGAAUCGGGAUGCUCUGAACUGGUCCUUUGGGUCUGUUUUGACCUUGAUGGUGGGAACAACUUGGCAGAGAACCCCUGAGACCUGCUUGGAUGCUUCUUGGGAGCUCAGCUUCUGGAGUUUACAUGCCCCUGAGUUUUCAUAGUCACAGAACACCAGAGCCAGCAGGUCCUAAAGGAAAAUGAAUCCCAAUGGCCACAUUGCACAGACGGGUAAACUGAGGCUCAGACAGGGAAAGGGAUUUGUUUUAAGGAGUGGGCGGUACUGCUCCUAGCUGUCCGCACUGGAGCUCAGCUGUGUGCCCCAGGGACAGAGGCAAAUUCCCUCUGCAGGGGUAGCUGUGUGUGUCACCUGUGACUGGCGUUGGUUUUCCUCUGGGCAAAACCAGGGGAGCCAGAGGGUCUGAAGACAGGCACUGGGCCAGCAUUCACCCAUUAGGACCACUCCCAGCCUAUUGGGUGAUUCAGACACACAUUUUUCUUUUGAUGUCAUUUCGUUUCGAUAAAGAGCCCAUCUUUAGCCAAGGUCUUGGCCAGGGUCCCGCAGCGGUGGAGCAGGAUUCCAGUGUGCCUUACCUACUGCCUUCUGAGGAGCCCUCUUUUGUUGCUUUUGUGGCCCCUGUGUAUCCCAAAAGUGGGAGCAGGUGCCUGAGGAUCAGGGGGGUACGUGGGAUUUCCCCACCUCCGCUCAGAUUUGCACUCUUUGUAAAUAGCUCUGACAGCAGGAUCUCUGCAGGAGGACUCAGUGCUAGCCUAGGCUCAACCAUAUGCCUGCUGUGUGGCUUUGAGUAAGUCCCUUUCCCUCUCUGGGCGUUGGUGCAUCCCCUUGUAAAGUGAGACCGUGGAGCUCACUGAUACCUGAUGUUCUGCCCCUCCCAGAAGAAGGGGGUGCAGACCAAUGCUUCCUCAGCCCCUAUUUAAGUUACGGGAUAUUGAGGUCCUUGUCAUUUGGGACACCUGAGCUUGGAGUUGAGAGUCAGGUUCUGGUACUGAAUGGUCCUGAGAAUGUGAAAGCACAUGACAGGGUGUGGUGGGGCUCACCAAGAUCCACUCUCCUCGCCCCAUGGAGAACCUGAGGUUUGGCAGCCAGCAGCCAGCAUGCGGGGAAGGCACAGCUCGCGGAGCUCAUGAGAUCCAGCUUUGAAUCCUGGCUUUGCCACUUACCCCUAACUACCCACUUAACCCGUCUGAGCCUUACUCAGUUUCUGCACCUGAAAGAUGGGGGAUCUGAAACUUUCCUCCUGAGACUGAGGUGAGGAUAGAACGAGUGGACGUGUGUGACUCCCCAGCACCCCGCAGGGCCCCGGUGGAGUGUACCCAGCGUCCUUUAGGUCUGCUGGGUGGGCCAGAGUAAGGUCAGGGAAAGCGCCAGAAGCUUUGCCAACAACCCAGGAAGCUGAGUCCAGAAAUAGAAGACCCUGGAGACAGAGGCUCCAGAUGGCCAGGCCGUACUCUGCCAGCCCUGGAAGGCCAGCCUGAGCUGGCAGUGCAGGCCUUCCCUCCCUCCUGGGGCUGUUGGCUGCAUAAAUUACUCGGCAGCCUUUGGGCUAAUUUUACCUUCUUGGUUUUCAUGAAUCAUUUCCCAUCCGGGGGCGUGCGAGAGAAAUGGAAACAGCUCUGCCAGCUGGCUGCCGGGGCGCCAGCCACCAUGAGGGCCGUGGUGAGCCCCUCUUGCAGGCUCUUGGGAAGGCCCUCCCCAGGACAGGCCCCAGGGCUGGCUCCUUCCAACCAUGUCCUUCCAGCCUUUGGGUUAUAAUGACUUAGGGUAAAUGAGUUACAGCAGAUCCUGAGGCUGGAACUUGGGCUAAAUCUAAAGGGAUUUUGAAUCAGUGGUUUCAGCAUGAUGGUCCUUUGGGUCUGUUUUGACCUCCAUGGUGUGAACGACUUGGCAGAGACCCCUGAGACCUGCUUGGAUGCUUCUUGGGGGCCCAGCUCCUGGAGUUGGCAUGACCCUCAGUUUUCAUAGUCACAGAAUGCCAGAGCCAGCAGGUCCUAAAGGAAAAUUAAUCCCAACAGCCUCAUUGUACAGAUGGGUAGACUGAGGCUCAGAGAGGGAACAGUAUCUAUCCAAGGUCUAUGCCUCAGUGGAUGAGGUUGGAAUAAUAGUAAUUUACCGGCUGUUUAUAACUUUACUCAUAACAACCUGAUGUCACUCUUCUCCCCAUUUGAUGGGGCGGGCGGGGGUGGGGAGGUAACUGAAGGCACAGAAGGUGAAAUAACUUCUCUAGAUCACAGAGUUAGUUGUAGAGCCAGGAUUCUCAUCCAGGGAGUUUUGCUCCAGGGCCUGUGUUCCCAGCUUCUACACCAAGCUGCCUCUUGCCGGUGGACUAGGGCUGCCCUUGUUUCUACCCUCCUCGCCUCUCCCAUGCUCCUUGGAAGUGGGUAUACAGGGCCGCUGAUGGGGUACUCCUGGAAAUCCCCAACUGACACUCUCACAUUGUCUUCAUCCAUUCACCAAAUAUGCAUUGAGCCCUGCUGGUGCCAGGAACCGUCCUGGGUGCUGGGGAUUUGGGAGCAGCCAGAAUGGGAGGGGCUGGGAGGCUGGUGAUUCCCCUGCCCAGCACCCUCAUCUCCUCUGAGGCUGGGUUCUCAGGGGAUGGUGUCUGCACAGCACUGUGGUCUCUGCCACGCAGGCAACACACUCAGAUACCCAGCCCAGGCCGGGGGCACACGUGAAUGCCACAGGCUGACUGGAGACCUGGAGAGUGAGUGUCUUGCCCUUGCCUAUCUGAGCAGGACCAACACCCAGCUCCAGUGAAUCGCUGCCAUGUGGGACUGCCCGUGUGGUGUUGCCAGCCCUUUGGAUUUCCCAGAAGAGAUGAACAUCCACAUUUUUACAUGGAAUCUUCUGUUUCUUCAAAGUUGGCAAAAAUAAAAAUGGAAAAAAAGAACAGUCACCAGUUUGCAGGCUGUGUUUCCUUUCUUCCAUUGCCUCUCUGCAGGCCUGUCUAGGAGGGAGCAGGCUUUCAUUCCAGUUAAUGAGCCCUGAGGGCCCUUCCCCCCCUGCUAUGGAAGACCCCUCCCAUUGCAGUCUGUCACCCUCUGUGCUGCACUGCCACCUGGGAGUAGAGGAAAGGUGUGGGCUUUGCAUUGUACAGACUCCAGACAGCUGCUGUGCAGCCUUGUUCAAGCCACUUAACCUCUCUGAGCCUGCAUUCUUAUCUGGAAAACAAA